rnacentral:pre_miRNA from 1 species
CCCGGCGAUAGUAAGUACUGCGAUAUGCUGCAAGAACACAAACACAUAUCACAGUCUACUUGCUGUCUCCGGUUCGCUG